rnacentral:rRNA from 1 species
CUUUUAGUGACUGGCGGGUGACGCACGGAAUAGAGUAGCGGUGAGGAGAGGAAGAAAAUAGGUCUAGCGGUUAAGGAGGCGAGUAGGAUUAGGUCGCGACCAGGAGAAGAAGAAGAGGUAGGUUAGAUCGGUUCUCGACGUGCACGCGCCCCGGCACCACCGACCGGUCGCGUCGUGGGGGAUUAGCCGCUACUUGGGUCUCCGGCGGUUCCGACCGUGGAACCUCGAGGAGACGGAGCAGGACUAGACCGGCAGCCGGGGCACGAGGCCUAGUCCGGUCUUCGGAACGGAUGCUGGACUAAGUCUGACGCAUCGGAAGCGGUGGACGCGGUAAGGGGUCUCCAAGCCGGCUAGGGCGCAGCGAGUAAGAGCGAAGAAGGAAACGAGCGCCGAGCGCAACUGACGCUCUCCGGUGUACGGAGCAGGUUGGUGUAGGAGAGUGACGGAACGAGGAGGUGGUGGUGAGGAGAGGGAAGAAGGAGGGGAGGGACGGUCGGUCCCGUGAGAGGGAGAGGGUGGAGGCAAGCGGCGUCCACUCACGCGCCGAUGCCCACAGACCGGUCGUCGUUGUCGACGCCGUCAAGGCGCGGGCCUCUUCGGCGCGCGACCCGCUACACCUCCUGCUGCUGGACGGCGAAGGAGUAAGCCCGCAGGAGGAGACGCGGCAGCUCUCUGCCGGUACCGGCGGGCUACGGGCUCGCGGCGGCCGGUUCCUAGGCGGCCGCAGGUCUGGGGGAGGUGCGGUAGGGGUAGAGCGGUCUCUGGAUGUGGUUCAGGGUAGGUCGCGGGCGCGGUGGGAAGCCCGGGGCGGGGCGUCGAGACGUCGGGCUCGCGAAGCCGGCGGAGCGUGGGCUUCGUCUCCUCUCCUCGAGGGAUGGUGCUCGGAGAGGUCGGGGCCGUUUGGUCGUCCGGCUGGGGCGGAGGAUCAGUGAAGGGAGGAAGGAAAAAAAGGCGGCCCUGCGUAGUGGGGAAGGAACCGAAGACGCCCUUCGGCCGCCGUUCGACGCCGGGCACGGGCCGCCACCUCUUCCGUUUACCUAUUCGCUCGCCACCACCACGGGCCACCACUUCGUCAAAUUAAUUCCUGGCACCCAUCUUAACAUUGUUUACGUCCCCAAAAAUACAUUUUUACUUCGCAAAAGAGUGUAUGGGUGAAUUUUAUCCUAACGCCUAACUUAAUGGUUUUGACUUCCCCGAAAAGACGUUUUCAAUAUAAAAUCAUAUCAUCUAUCUCUCCAUCUCUAGUCGUUUUAUCGGGCACUCAACAUUGCCCUCUUUUUUUUAGUUUGCUACGAUCAGACUAUUUGUACCGAUUUC